rnacentral:lncRNA from 1 species
GUCCCAUUUAUCAUCUUCCGUCAGAGGUCUUCACCACUGCCAUAAUGGGAAUUUAUUGUAUGGCUUUGUGAGGACAGAUGGUCGGGAAGGAAACACUUUUCUUCAGCAUCUCCACAGAAGGCCUCCUUGGGGCUUGGUGCUCCCGUCUCAGCCUCCAAAGGUGGGCUCCAGUCUCCUGGGUCAGUUAGAAGGGCAACUUCAAGGACCAUCAGAUUUCACUCAAGAGUUGGUGGUGGAUUUGUCUGUCUCCUUGUUUGGAAUGUGAGAGAAGUUUAAUAUCUUGACAGCAUGGUCUGUCACUUAACAGCUGUAUGAACUUGGGUAAGUUAGGUAACCUCUCUGGCCUCAGUUUCCUCAUCUGUCAAAUGGGAUAAUACAUAAUGGUAUUGACCCCAUAGUUUUUUUCUGAAGAUUGAACGAGUUGAUCUUUGUACAGCACCGGGCACAUCGUGAAGACUCAGUAAAUGUGAGCGGCUACCAUCACCACCACCAC